rnacentral:rRNA from 1 species
AUUGAACGCUGGCGGCAUGCUUUACACAUGCAAGUCGAACAGCAGCGCGGGCUUCGGCCUGGCGGCGAGUGGCGAACGGGUGAGUAAUGCAUCGGAACGUGCCCAGUAGUGGGGGAUAGCCCGGCGAAAGCCGGAUUAAUACCGCAUACGACCUGAGGGUGAAAGCGGGGGACCGAAAGGCCUCGCGCUAUUGGAGCGGCCGAUGUCGGAUUAGCUAGUUGGUGGGGUAAAGGCUUACCAAGGCGACGAUCCGUAGCUGGUCUGAGAGGACGACCAGCCACACUGGGACUGAGACACGGCCCAGACUCCUGCGGGAGGCAGCAGUGGGGAAUUUUGGACAAUGGGGGCAACCCUGAUCCAGCCAUGCCGCGUGCGGGGAGAAGGCCUUCGGGUUGUAAACCGCUUUUGUUCGGGAAGAAAUCCUCUGGGCUAAUACCCCGGGGGGAUGACGGUACCGGAAGAAUAAGCACCGGCUAACUACGUG